GCUUUCCUUGGUGUAGUGGUUAGCACGUUCGACGCGCAUUCGAGAGGUCCGAGGUUCGAAUCUCGGCGAGAGCA
rnacentral:tRNA from 1 species